AGGGGCAGCAUGACGAUAGCUUGCUAUUGUUGAUGGCGACCGGCGCACGGGUGAGUAACGCGUAUCCAACCUGCCCUUGUCCAUCGGAUAACCCGUCGAAAGGCGGCCUAACACGAUAUGCAGUUCUCCGCAGGCAUCUAACGAGAACGAAAUGUGAAGGAGAAGGAUGGGGAUGCGUCUGAUUAGCCUGUUGGCGGGGUAACGGCCCACCAAGGCGACGAUCAGUAGGGGUUCUGAGAGGAAGGUCCCCCACAUUGGAACUGAGACACGGUCCAAACUCCUACGGGAGGCAGCAGUGAGGAAUAUUGGUCAAUGGGCGAGAGCCUGAACCAGCCAAGUAGCGUGCAGGAUGACGGCCCUAUGGGUUGUAAACUGCUUUUAUGCGGGGAUAAAGUGAGCCACGUGUGGCUUAUUGCAGGUACCGCAUGAAUAAGGACCAGGCUAAUUCCGUGCCAGCAGCCGCGGUAAUACGGAAGGUCCGGGCGUUAUCCGGAUUCAUGGGGUUUACCGGGAGCGUAGGCCGUCUGGUAAGCGUGUUGUGACAUGUCGGGGCUCAACCUGGGCCUUGCAGCGCGAACUGU
rnacentral:rRNA from 1 species